UUUCAAAACCACUUCCCAGCAAAGGUUGAACUCAAACCCUAGAAACGAAAUCAAUCUUCUUCUAGCUUCUUCAAACAAUUCCCAGCAAACAUUGAACUCAAACCCUAGAAUUGAAAUCGAUCAUCUUCUAGCUUCAAACCCAAAGGAAUCGAACUUAGAGAAAUCGUUCCUCUGUAAUCAAACUCACGGCAAACGGAACUCGAAGUUAGAGAAAUCGUUCCUCUUCUCCAAUUACAAUUGUUUCGUGCAGUAGAUAUCCUUCUCACAUUAUUGUCAAUCCUAGCUAAUAUCCAAGAACCCAGAAACCACUGUGAACCCUAACCCAUAACCCAUAAAUCUCUUCUCUCCAAGAACCUUAAUCCAAUUACCCACUACUUUCACUGUCAGAAGUUGUACUCGUUCGUCACCGUUCAUCGCUGUCCGUCGCCAUGCUCUCACAACUCAAACUGUCGUCAUUAAGAUGAUAUAGGGCAAGAAUGGACUUUUGUGCAGGCUAAAUCCGAAAAUGUGCAGAAUGUGUGUGACAUAGUCAAGAAACAAUUGUCCCUGCUAGAAUAUUCAAAUGUUAUCGGAGAGUCUAAAUUUACUACACUUGUGAAGUUAGUUAUCUACUGGUAUUUCAUUAUCUCAUUUUUCUAAUGUUCUGAAGAUUAUUAUCUCCUUUAAAAUGAACUAAAAUCUAGUUAUUAUUAUGAAAAAAGGGAAUAGUCUCCUAUAUAUAUUUGACAACAGUGAAGUUACUUAUCUCUUGAUAAAUUCAUGUGCUUGCAGUACCCUUUAUUUUUUUAAAUUCUUCUACUUUAAGUAUGUUCUUAUAUUCAGUAUUACCUUAUUAUCAGAUAUUUUAAGGGUUUCUGGAAAGAAUGGAUUGAUGCAAAACCAAGGGCAUAGUGACUAUGACAGAGUGCAGUUUGGAAGUUUGAAGCCUAAUCUUAUGUCUUCUUUAGACACUACAAAAAAAAAAUUACUGGCCGGAACAAAUUGUCACAUGAAGUCUUUUAAUUCUGUUCUACAAUUCUAUAUAAUGAUCAUUGUUCUCCACUGCUCGUUCUAAUGAAGCAACGACAUAAACACAGGACAUGAUGCUAACAAAUAGAAUCACAGAUACCAUAUUAGUAACAAUUUGAGAAAACAAAAGUGAUUGAAUGUAACUAUAUAUGUCGGUGUCAAACAGCGACAUGUCAUACACUAGACAUGCCUUUAAUAAAAAGUGUACAUGCUACAUUACAUAAUGUAUAAACCAUUGUAAAAAGACACAAAAUAACAUUUGAUCCGUUUACCUACACUUUUUGUACAGUUUUUGAAACAAAUAUGCUAUAACAUGUUUCUUUUCAUUCAUGUACUAAUAUUCCCAUUCCAUUUCUUUUAUAUUCUAAGAGGUUAAGUCCAAUCUUACAUAAGGGGUUUGUUGAAGCACAGGGACUAAAUGUGUAUUGGCUAAUCUUUUAGCUACUUGAUAUUUGAACUAGACAUACACGUGUCUUGAUGAUCCUGUUAUUUUUGUUUCUCUUUCUCUCAUUUUAAGUUGGAGCUAGAACUUAUUUCUCUCUAUAUGACAUACAUUUCUUGAACUUGGAGAAUCGUUCAUUAUGUUUGAUGCAACAGCUGCACUGGAUGCAUUCAAAACUGUAAGGGGCUAAAAACUUACCAUUUCCUGGUCUUUUAUGGCUCAUACUCUUUUAAGAAAGGAGGUCAGGAAGUCCCAAUUGAAUUACUCAAUAAUAUUGGUGUCCUUGAGUCUUAAUAGCAAGAAUUUGAGUACAGAUGUUCGGUAUUCUCCCUGAGCUAUUUGCGUUAUGUGCUUGAAGUUAGCUUGCUGUCACGCUUGGAACUGUGGACUGAUGCUUCUGUAGUGUUUCUUGUUCCCUGCUCUUUUGUAGUCUAUUGAUAUACAUCAUAGGUUUGGUAGGUGUUUGUGGAAUGUUGGUUUGUUUAUUCGAGUUACACUACUAGACAUGUGUUAUUGGGGUGCUUUUUCUAAUUUUGGGGUAGAUUGUUAAUUAGUGGGGGGCCAAGUAGUGUUCUCGAUAUGUUGGUUGUGUUCUCAGAUUUGUCUUGUACUUGGAUCAAUUUUGUUUAUGAAAUGAAUUAAUGUA